GACGAACGCUGGCGGCGUGCUUAACACAUGCAAGUCGAGCGAACAAAGCUCCUUCGGGAGUGGAGUUAGCGGCGGACGGGUGAGUAACACGUGGGUAACCUGCCUUAUAGAGGGGGAUAGCCUUCCGAAAGGAAGAUUAAUACCGCAUAAGAAGUAGAAGUCGCAUGACUUUAGCUUUAAAGGAGCAAUCCGCUAUAAGAUGGACCCGCGGCGCAUUAGCUAGUUGGUGAGGUAACGGCUCACCAAGGCGACGAUGCGUAGCCGACCUGAGAGGGUGAUCGGCCACAUUGGAACUGAGACACGGUCCAGACUCCUACGGGAGGCAGCAGUGGGGAAUAUUGCACAAUGGGCGAAAGCCUGAUGCAGCAACGCCGCGUGGGUGAUGAAGGUUUUCGGAUCGUAAAGCCCUGUCUUUGGGACGAUAAUGACGGUACCAAAGGAGGAAGCCACGGCUAACUACGUG
rnacentral:rRNA from 1 species